GUGGGGAAUAUUGGACAAUGGGGGGAACCCUGAUCCAGCCAUGCCGCGUGUGUGAAGAAGGCCUUUUGGUUGUAAAGCACUUUAAGCGAGGAGGAGGCUACCGAGAUUAAUACUCUUGGAUAGUGGACGUUAAUCGCAGAAGAAGCACCGGCUAACUCUGUGCCAGCAGCCGCGGUAAUACAGAUGGUGCAAGCGUUAAUAGGAUUUACGGGGCGUAAAGCGCGCGUAGGUGGCCAAUUAAGUCAAAUUUGACAUCCCCGAGCUUAACUUGGUAAUUGCAUUCGAUACUGGUUGGCUAGAGUAUGGGAGAGGAUGGUAGAAUUCCAGGUGUAGCGGUGAAAUGCGUAGAGAUCUGGAGGAAUACCGAUGGCGAAGGCAGCCAUCUGGCCUAAUACUGACACUGAGGUGCGAAAGCAUGGGGAGCAAACAGGAUUAGAUACCCGGGUAGUCC
rnacentral:rRNA from 1 species